AAGCUACCUUUAUUUCUUGUUUUUGUUUACGUUCUGGAAUAUAAAAUAAUUUGAUAGCAGUCAACGGAUAUAUUUGGAUCCCAAUGAUCAAAGCCACUUAAGUUACCAAUUAAACAACUAAUCAAUGACAACAGUGACAGAUAUGUUCGAACUUUCCAAAAUCGACCCAGUUGUAAGAACCCAACCUCAUUAUUUUAUACUAGAGCAGUUAAUAAUGUUGCAUUUGUCACAUUUUAAUUGGCCUGUAAGGCAUUCACUGGCUUACUAGAAGAUGACAAGCACUGGAAUUGUACUUUAGAAUAAGUUAUUUUAUGCAAAUCGGCAAUUCAUUUGCGUAAUUUAUUUGCAGUGAUGAUAGUAAAUUGUCAAAGGUCCAAUGCCACAAAUCUUUGGAAAAUGUUUAAAGAGAGCUUUUCAGAAGAUUGUGCAAUAGGUUGCUAACUUGAUCUAGCGGUAAUGGAAAGUGUUAAAAACCGUAUUAUUUUGAUUGAAGAUAUAAGGCUGUCUGUAUAAGAGAAGUGCCUCUCUGAGUAUGCUUUGUCCAUUCCAGCUCGAAUUCUAGAAGCAUUUUAAAAUAAGAAAUACUUAAACAAAAUAAAUUACAAUAUUAAUGAAAAAAUAAAGCAAGGAAUAGUCCCCUAACAGAUUGUCAAACAAGAAAGGAAGCUAGCCUGGGCAAGCCGAAGCUUUUAUACUCUUUCAGACAUAAAAUAUGUUGAAUAUAUAGAAAUUUCAUAGAAAAAUCGACAUAUUAUUUGUACAUACCACAUAUGUCAGUUGCAUAUCGAUAGUUGUUCAGUAUAUCAACUCCGGUUCACGAAAUGGAACGCUUCUCGAACGAACAACGCUGGGAAAUGGUAAAAUUUUACUUCGAAAGUAACGAAUCAGUUGCCGAAACUGCAAGGAAAUUGCGUACAAAGUAUGGUCGCGAAAUGGCACCUUCCCGAUUUGUUUUGGCCAAUUUUUUUAAACGUGCGCGUGAAACUGGUUCACUGAACAACAAAACAACACGAAAACGUGAGUCAACUGUUCGUACUGCUGAAAACAUUGCUGUUGUAGCCAAAGAUGUGCGCGAUCUUCCGACAACCUCCACUCGUCAACGAAGUCAACAAUUGGACAUCUCACGAACCUCUUUGAGGAGGAUUUUGCAUAAAGACCUCGGUAUGAUACCUUACAAGGUCCAAUUGACUCACCAGCUCAGACUCAGACUGCGAUUUGACGCCAUUGGACUAUUAUCUCUGGGGUGCCGUUAAGGAUAAGUGUUAUGCCAAGAAUCCACAAACAAUUGAAAACCUGAAAGCCGAAAUCGGCGAAGUUAUUGGCCAGAUACAACCCCACACGCUCGAAAAUGUCGUCAAAAAUUGGUCUGAUCGCAUCCGCUACUGCCACGCCAGCCGCGGCAGCCACAUGAACGAUGUUGUGUUCCAACAUUAAACCGGAAGAAUUAAGCUUUACAAUAAAAAAAAAUCAGAAUUGAAAAAUAUUGACGCGUUUUCAUUUUAUAGCCAUUUCAAAAGGUGAUUUUUAAUUGGCCCACCCUGUAUAUAUUUUCAAAUUUCUGACUGAAAUUAUAAUACUUCGCUCUGCAAGGGUAUAAAAGUGAUAUUUGAAAAAAACAUUACAAAGUUCUCUUCGAAAAACGGUGAAAUUUUUUUGUAUUCUCUGGUGGCACAGGUAAGACAUUUGCAUUUAGUUUGUGAACACAAAAAUACAGCAUUAGCUGUUGUCUUCUUAGGAUUCGCUGCUAAAUGGUUUAUUGGAGGCCGGAAAGUUUGUAUACUCCACAUGAAUAAAAGUAGAUAUAGAAACACCACGCUGCUUGAUAUCUGAUCGGUCUAAGAAUGUAGAUUUUUGUUUGGGACUAGUGUGAAAGUGUGUAUUAUCUGGAGAUUUUCGACCAAAACAUCCUAAAAUCCUAUUUACAAGAAAGAAAGCUAGCUUCGGCAAGCCGAAGCUUAUAUACCCUUGCAGUCAAUAAAUAUGUCGAACAAAAUACAUAAAGGCUAAACAACAUCGAAGCUAUGACGACUAUUUGUUAUAUGGCAGCAAUAUGAUAUGUCCGAUUUUGAUUAAAUUUACUUUGUUAUUCAAGAAUCAUUAGAAAAGUCUAUAUU